ACUUAAGUAACUUAAAUUAAAGUAUUACAUUGAAGCUGUAAUUAUAGGUAUUAUUGCCUCUUGAGUG
rnacentral:tRNA from 1 species